UUUAUUUGCACUUGAAAUAUAAAUAUACCACUCAUUCUAUUAAAAACAGGAAGUCGAUCACUUCAUAAAUCUAACAAUCUCUUUCAUUUUCUCGGUAGCCAUUGAAAUAUUGGACAAUUUGUAUUUGCCUCUAACUCUAUUUAAUUUUGUUUAGCAAACAAAAAUGUGUUAUAUAUAAGCAGAACACUGUCAGACAACAAGCGUUGAAGAAAGAAGAUACCAAGAUGAGUUAAGACAGCCCCUGCCUUCAAAUCCAAUUACAGUCAAUUUGUGGGGGACAGACACAUACACAAAGACCACAGGAAAUGAAUAGAAAGAAGAAAGCAGAGAAGGGGCUAAAUGUGAGCACCCUUCUAUUCUGAAGAUAAUUUUAAAUCUGGUGCCAGAAAGUUUGAUCCAAGACAGGACUAAAGAGCAGACAGGAUAAGGGAGCUGCUUUUACAUUCCAUCCUGGGAAACACCUGAUCUGGGGGGACCUUUCACUUUCUCUUUUGUUCUGUCCUAGGUAGUUGCAUCCAGCCCAGACGAUCCUGGGGAAGAUUUAACAAACGUUUGCUCAAGAAUGGUUCCCAAAAAGGUGUUAACUACUUAUUCCUCAUAUGAAUGAAUUGCUGAUUGCACAACUG